AUGUCAAAGCUUGAUACGCACCUGAAUCGGCAGUUACAUACAGACCAAUAGUAUAUUAGUACAUAUGCCGGUUUGGGUUCGUAUCAAACUAUGAUAUAC
rnacentral:pre_miRNA from 2 species